rnacentral:rRNA from 1 species
UACGGAGGGAGCUAGCGUUGUUCGGAAUUACUGGGCGUAAAGCGCGCGUAGGCGGCUUUGUAAGUUAGAGGUGAAAGCCCGGGGCUCAACCCCGGAACUGCCUUUAAAACUGCAUCGCUUGAAUCCGGGAGAGGUGAGUGGAAUUCCGAGUGUAGAGGUGAAAUUCGUAGAUAUUCGGAAGAACACCAGUGGCGAAGGCGGCUCACUGGACCGGUAUUGACGCUGAGGUGCGAAAGCGUGGGGAGCAAACGGG